GGGCUCCUUUGUGCACAUGUGCAGAUCGGACUAUAGAUCACCUUUAAGGAAAUCUUGUCAAUUUUUUGUAAUAUACACACUCGUGAGCAAAUAAAACUUGUCAAGGAAAAAUUGCUCGUCUGUGCGGGGCUUUACUAGUUAAACCCAGGACAUAUGAGAUAUGCCAGCCUUGGUUUUAUACCCAUUGAGUGCCAGUGCUAUUUUCUGUGAAUAUUUGUCUGGCGCACAUUUUAUAUAUAAAAUAGGGCGCACAUCUAUAAUAAUAUAAUGUAAUGUUUUUAACCAAAAUAUUUAAUACGCGUACUUGAUUUUAUAGCAGAAACAGCUUCUUGUGAAUUAGCAAUUUUCGGGUGUCUACCAUCGAUUGGAAAUCCAGGUUCGUAGCUGUAGUAGCAAGGCCUACUAGUGGUUGAAAUGCUUCGUCUUCCUUGCCGCCAUACGCAUCGAAACAAGCCAGAAAAUGUCUUCUCCAUUUUUAGACGUCCUCAGAAUAAGUCAGAAUACAAUCAAAGGUUACGAUUGCAGACAGGAUUUUCCUCAUAUAAAGUAUCUGCAAAGUAAAAUUCGAAUACUGUACACAUUUUUGACAAAAGACAACAGGUCGUGCAGCAAUUCACGUGACGGAAACCAG